UACGGGGGGAGCAAGCGUUGUUCGGAUUUACUGGGCGUAAAGGGCGCGUAGGCGGCCUGUGCAAGUCAGUUGUGAAAUCUCCGGGCUUAACUCGGAACGGUCAACUGAUACUGCUCGGCUAGAGUGCGGAAGGGGCAACUGGAAUUCUUGGUGUAGCGGUGAAAUGCGUAGAUAUCAAGAGGAACACCUGCGGCGAAGGCGGGUUGCUGGGCCGACACUGACGCUGAGGCGCGAAAGCGUGGGGAGCGAACAGG
rnacentral:rRNA from 1 species